UGCCAAGGACAUUAUCUGUCUAUUUAAU
rnacentral:piRNA from 1 species